UACGAGGGGUGCAAGCGUUGCUCGGAAUUAUUGGGCGUAAAGGGUAGGUAGGUGGUCUCGUUUGUCAGGGGUGAAAGCCUUGGGCUUAACCCAAGAAGUGCCCCUGAAACGGCGAGACUUGAGUCUUGGAGAGGGUCGUGGAAUUCCCGGUGUAGCGGUGAAAUGCGCUAGAGAUCGGGAGGAACACCAGGUGGCGAAGGCGGUCGUCCUGGGA
rnacentral:rRNA from 1 species